GGAAGCCGGUGCAAAACCGGCACGGUCGCGCCACUGUGAACGCUCCGCCCGCCCCGGGCGGGGCGUGAGUCAGAC
rnacentral:ncRNA from 2 species